CUACGGGAGGCACCAGUCGAGGAAAUUUUACAAUGCUCGCAAGAGUGAUAAAAUAAACCAGAGUGUUUUUCUUAGAAAAACUUUUAUCUGUUGCAAAAAGACAGAUGAAUAAGGACUGGGCAAGACCGGUGCCAGCCGCCGCGGUAAUACCGGCGGUCCAAGUCGUAUCCACUAUUUAUUGGGUCUAAAACAUUCGUAGCUUGUUUGAUAAGUCUCUUGUGAAAUCUGAUAUCUCAAAUAUCAGGCGGGCAAGAGAUACUGUCUUACUAGAGACCGGAAGACGCAAAGAGUAUGGUGGAGGUAGCGGUAAAAUGUGUUAAUCUCCAUUAGACUAACAAUGGCGAAGGCACUUUGCGAGUACGGAUCUGACAGUGAGGGAUGAAGGCUAGGGGCGCAAAAGGGAUUAGAUACCCCCGUACUC
rnacentral:rRNA from 1 species